rnacentral:rRNA from 1 species
UGGCGGCGUGCUUCAUACAUGCAAGUCGAACGAGAAGUACCUUCGGGUAAUGGAAAGUGGCGGACGGGUGAGUAAUGUGUAGAGAAUCUGCCCUAGAGUGGGGGACAACAGUUGGAAACGACUGCUAAUACCGCAUAUGAGCGUAGCUGGAAUGCUAUUCUUGAAAACUUCGGUGCUCUGGGAUGAGUCUGCAUCUGAUUAGCUAGUUGGCGGUGUAAUGGACCACCAAGGCGACGAUCAGUAGCUGGUUUGAGAGGAUGAUCAGCCACAAUGGGACUGAGACACGGCCCAUACUCCUACGGGAGGCAGCAGUAGGGAAUUUUGCGCAAUGGGCGAAAGCCUGAACCGCAGCAACGCCGCGUGAUUGAAAAAGCCCUUCGGGGUGUAAAGAUCUGUCAGUAGGGACGAAACUUGACGGUACCUACAGAGGAAGCAUCGGCUAACUCCGUGCCAGCCGCAGC